rnacentral:rRNA from 1 species
UACGUAGGGUGCGAGCGUUGUCCGGAAUUAUUGGGCGUAAAGAGCUCGUAGGCGGUGUGUCACGUCGGCCGUGAAAACCUGGGGCUUAACUCUGGGCGUGCGGUCGAUACGGGCAUCACUAGAGUUCGGCAGGGGGAGACUGGAAUUCCUGGUGUAGCGGUGAAAUGCGCAGAUAUCAGGAGGAACACCGAUGGCGAAGGCAGGUCUCUGGGCAUUAACUGACGCUGAGGAGCGAAAGCAUGGGGAGCGAACAGG